rnacentral:misc_RNA from 1 species
UUUGGGUUGGGUGUGGUGGUUUAUGUUUGUAAUUUUAGUAUUUUGGGAGGUUGAGGUGGGUGGAUUAUUUGAGGUUAGGAGUUUGAGAUUAGUUUGGUUAAUAUGGUGAAAUUUUAUUUUUAUUAAAAAUAUAAAAAUUAGUUGGGUGUGGUGGUAUAUGUUUGUAAUUUUAGUUAUUUGGGAGGUUGAGGUAGGAGAAUUGUUUGAAUUUGGGAGGUAGAGGUUGUAGUGAGUUGAGAUUAUGUUAUUGUAUUUUAGUUUGGGUGAUAGAGUGAGAUUUUGU